GCAAGUCGAACGAGGUCCAUUCGGUGGCAACACCGAGGACGACCUAGUGGCGAACGGGUGCGUAACACGUGAGAAACCUGCCCCGAAGUCCGGGAUAACCAGAGGAAACCCUGGCUAAUACCGGAUGCCUUCACCGGAUCGCAUGGUCUGGUGAAGAAAUGGAUGCCGCUUCGGGAGGGUCUCGCGGCCUAUCAGCUAGUUGGUGAGGUAACGGCCCACCAAGGCAUCGACGGGUAGCUGGUUUGAGAGGAUGACC
rnacentral:rRNA from 1 species